CUUCAUAGCCACUGUCAAAUUUCAGAGUUAUCCAAACGGGUUUUGUUAUGACCCAACCAGAAUCUCACACUGUUGUAACCAAGUGAGGCCUCUUAGAAAGACGCCAGGCCCCGAUCCUUGCAGGACAACUUUGUUCUGACUCCGGAUUUGCUCCCUCAAUAGAGCAGCUACCCGAGGCCAAAGCCAUUUGGGGAAGUGGCUCCUAGACGCCAAGAUUAGGAAAAAGGGCAUUUUCCUAGAAGCAGCUUAGGGGUAUUACAGACACAGAGUGCAUGAGACCACAGACAGGAUGAAGAGCUCCUGAUUAUAAUGCGCUGGAACUUACAGCUAAAUAAGCUGCAUGGUAACUGUGUGUGUUGUUCAAAACUCAGAGAGCUUCCACUCAUUAGGGUGGAUUUCACUGUGUGUACAUUAUCCCUCAACACACCUGUCUUAAAAUACCCAAAACCUCAGAAAGAGCUGACAUCUCUUGGCUUUGGUCAUUGUGUGUCACCCCACGAACCCGAGGUCAGCAAUGAUGGUGGGUUCUGAGCCGUGACAACAGCUCAAGUGUAUGAAGCACUUACUGAGCGCCAAAUACAAGGGGUUUAUAUGAAUCAUAUUGUUUACCCUGAAAAAUAAAAAAGGAGCUGUGAGUAUUUUACUCCAGAAAGCUUAUGAAGUUGAACUUAACUGAGGAAAUACUUUGAGUUACAAAUCUGCCUAGUGCAAAGAACCAUGUGUGCAAACACUCGCCAAUGUAUGAGGAACCCUGGCGACUGUAGGGGUCGCUACAGAGUCUCAGACGUGCCUCCCCCCUUUAGGAACUGGGCGGCCCACGGGGAGUGUAAGAGAGCUGGCGAACGUCUUUAACAUCUCAAAACACCACAGGAUGAGACGCCAGAAUUCCCUGCCUUUUUGCCAAACCAGAGGAGCCAGUGGCCAUGCUGGGGAACCCCACGUGGCAAGGACUACAGGUGACCCCUAGUUGCUGAGUGUUUCUGACCAACACCCAGCAAGAACCUGAGGCUCUCAGCCCGCCAACUGGAAGGAAGUGAAUUCUGCCAACAACCCCAGUAAGCCUGGAAGUGAUGCUUCUCCGGUCGAGCCUCCGCAGAGACCGCGGCGCUGGCUAACCCCUUGACGCGGCCAAGUGAGACUGGAGCCGAGGACCCAGUGAAGCCAAGCCCAGACUCCUGGCCUAAAGAUACUGUGAGAUAAUAAACAUGUGCUGUUCUAAGCCA